rnacentral:tRNA from 1 species
GGAGGGAUCGCUCAGUGGUAGAGCACAUGCUUAGCAUGCACGAGGUCCUGGGUACGAUCCUCAGUACCUCCG